rnacentral:rRNA from 1 species
GCUGGAAACGGCGUCUAAUACUGGAUACGAGCUGCGAAGGCAUCUUCAGCAGCUGGAAAGAACUUCGGUGAGGGAUGAGCUCGCGGCCUAUCAGCUUGUUGGUGAGGUAAUGGCUCACCAAGGCGUCGACGGGUAGCCGGCCUGAGAGGGUGACCGGCCACACUGGGACUGAGACACGGCCCAGACUCCUACGGGAGGCAGCAGUGGGGAAUAUUGCACAAUGGGCGAAAGCCUGAUGCAGCAACGCCGCGUGAGGGACGACGGCCUUCGGGUUGUAAACCUCUUUUAGCAGGGAAGAAGCGAAAGUGACGGUACCUGCAGAAAAAGCACCGGCUAACUACGUGCCAGCAGCCGCGGUAAUACGUAGGGUGCAAGCGUUAUCCGGAAUUAUUGGGCGUAAAGAGCUCGUAGGCGGUUUGUCGCGUCUGCUGUGAAAUCUGGGGGCUCAACCCCCAGCCUGCAGUGGGUACGGGCAGACUAGAGUGCGGUAGGGGAGAUUGGAAUUCCUGGUGUAGCGGUGGAAUGCGCAGAUAUCAGGAGGAACACCGAUGGCGAAGGCAGAUCUCUGGGCCGUAACUGACGCUGAGGAGCGAAAGGGUGGGGAGCAAACAGGCUUAGAUACCCUGGUAGUCCACCCCGUAAACGUUGGGAACUAGUUGUGGGGUCCAUUCCACGGAUUCCGUGACGCAGCUAACGCAUUAAGUUCCCCGCCUGGGGAGUACGGCCGCAAGGCUAAAACUCAAAGGAAUUGACGGGGACCCGCACAAGCGGCGGAGCAUGCGGAUUAAUUCGAUGCAACGCGAAGAACCUUACCAAGGCUUGACAUAUACGAGAACGGGCCAGAAAUGGUCAACUCUUUGGACACUCGUAAACAGGUGGUGCAUGGUUGUCGUCAGCUCGUGUCGUGAGAUGUUGGGUUAAGUCCCGCAACGAGCGCAACCCUCGUUCUAUGUUGCCAGCACGUAAUGGUGGGAACUCAUGGGAUACUGCCGGGGUCAACUCGGAGGAAGGUGGGGAUGACGUCAAAUCAUCAUGCCCCUUAUGUCUUGGGCUUCACGCAUGCUACAAUGGCCGGUACAAAGGGCUGCAAUACCGCAAGGUGGAGCGAAUCCCAAAAAGCCGGUCCCAGUUCGGA